AACGAACGCUGGCGGCAGGCUUAACACAUGCAAGUCGAGCGCCCCGCCAGGGGAGCGGCUGACGGGUGAGUAGCGCGUGGGAACGUACCUUUUGGUUCGGAACAACUCCGGGAAACUGGAGCUACUACCGGAUAAGCCCUCACGGGGAAAGAUUUAUCGCCGAAAGCUCGGACCGCGUCUGAUUAGCUAGUUGGUUAGGUAACGGCUCACCAAGGCGACGGUCAGUAGCUGGUCUGAGAGGAUGAUCAGCCACACUGGGACUGAGACACGGCCCAGACUCCUACGGGAGGCAGCAGUGGGGAAUAUUGGACAAUGGGGGCAAGGCUGAUCCAGCCAUGCCGGGUGAGUGAUGAAGGCAUGAGGGUUGUAAAGCUCUUUUGUCCGGGAAGAUAAUGACUGUACCGGAAGAAUAAGCCCCGGCUAACUUCGUG
rnacentral:rRNA from 1 species